rfam:Pelecanus crispus contig3034, whole genome shotgun sequence.
CCAAUGGCUUUCUUAGAAGCCAUAUUCUGUUUCAUAUUUUGUUUCU